rnacentral:rRNA from 1 species
UACAGAGGGGGCAAGCGUUGUUCGGAAUUACUGGGCGUAAAGGGCGCGUAGGCGGCCUGCUAAGUCGAACGUGAAAUCCCCGGGCUCAACCCGGGAACUGCGUCCGAUACUGGCAGGCUUGAAUCCGGGAGAGGGAUGUGGAAUUCCAGGUGUAGCGGUGAAAUGCGUAGAUAUCUGGAGGAACACCGGUGGCGAAGGCGGCAUCCUGGACCGGUAUUGACGCUGAUGCGCGAAGGCCAGGGGAGCAAACGGG